UGACGAGUGGCGGACGGGUGAGUAAUGUCUGGGAAACUGCCUGAUGGAGGGGGAUAACUACUGGAAACGGUGGCUAAUACCGCAUAACGUCGCAAGACCAAAGAGGGGGACCUUCGGGCCUCUUGCCAUCAGAUGUGCCCAGAUGGGAUUAGCUAGUUGGUGAGGUAACGGCUCACCAAGGCGACGAUCCCUAGCUGGUCUGAGAGGAUGACCAGCCACACUGGAACUGAGACACGGUCCAGACUCCUACGGGAGGCAGCAGUGGGGAAUAUUGCACAAUGGGCGCAAGCCUGAUGCAGCCAUGCCGCGUGUAUGAAGAAGGCCUUCGGGUUGUAAAGUACUUUCAGCGGGGAGGAAGGUGUUGUGGUUAAUAACCGCAGCAAUUGACGUUACCCGCAGAAGAAGCACCGGCUAACUCCGUGCCAGCAGCCGCGGUAAUACGGAGGGUGCAAGCGUUAAUCGGAAUUACUGGGCGUAAAGCGCACGCAGGCGGUCUGUCAAGUCGGAUGUGAAAUCCCCGGGCUCAACCUGGGAACUGCAUUCGAAACUGGCAGGCUUGAGUCUUGUAGAGGGGGGUAGAAUUCCAGGUGUAGCGGUGAAAUGCGUAGAGAUCUGGAGGAAUACCGGUGGCGAAGGCGGCCCCCUGGACAAAGACUGACGCUCAGGUGCGAAAGCGUGGGGAGCAAACAGGAUUAGAUACCCUGGUAGUCCACGCCGUAAACGAUGUCUACUUGGAGGUUGUGCCCUUGAGGCGUGGCUUCCGGAGCUAACGCGUUAAGUAGACCGCCUGGGGAGUACGGCCGCAAGGUUAAAACUCAAAUGAAUUGACGGGGGCCCGCACAAGCGGUGGAGCAUGUGGUUUAAUUCGAUGCAACGCGAAGAACCUUACCUGGUCUUGACAUCCACAGAACUUUCCAGAGAUGGAUUGGUGCCUUCGGGAACUGUGAGACAGGUGCUGCAUGGCUGUCGUCAGCUCGUGUUGUGAAAUGUUGGGUUAAGUCCCGCAACGAGCGCAAC
rnacentral:rRNA from 1 species